UUUCGAGAAAACUUGACGUGUUUUAUUCUGAUGAUGAAGUACAUUUUUCUCUUUUUGGCCGUGCUGGCUUACAUCGCUGCCGCCGAAAAAGAUAUCCCGAGGCCUAUUCAUGUCUGUCCACUGAGCAUGAUCCACUGUGGCAGCGGGAUUCACCCACUCAAGAUUACAAGAGCCUAUGGUUGUCCAGUUUAUAGAUGUCCGCCGAGACUGCCAACGCCAUGCCCACUAAACAAGAUGAGACCUUGCAGAGUUGGGGUAGUUCCAAUCUGGAAAGGAGCUGCCGGGUCAAAGGUCAGGUAGGCCGUAUCAGGGAAUGCAAAGUUGAAGGGCAGAUUCACCAAGAAAACCAACACGAAACAGACUUUAUCAGACAUUCUAUACCUUUCCGAUACAUGCUGUAUUUCAA